rnacentral:rRNA from 1 species
UACGUAGGUGGCGAGCGUUGUCCGGAUUUACUGGGCGUAAAGAGCGCGCAGGCGGUCGUUCAAGUCGAGUGUGAAAGCCCCCGGCUCAACUGGGGAGGGUCACUCGAUACUGAUCGACUCGAAGGCAGGAGAAGGUAGUGGAAUUCCCGGUGUAGUGGUGAAAUGCGUAGAUAUCGGGAGGAACACCAGUGGCGAAGGCGACUACCUGGCCUGUUCUUGACGCUGAGGCGCGAAAGCUAGGGGAGCAAACGGG